rnacentral:rRNA from 1 species
GCAAGUCGAGCGAUGAAAUUUCGACAGAUCCCUUCGGGGUGAAGAUGAAAUGGAUUAGCGGCGGACGGGUGAGUAACACGUGAGUAACCUGCCUUUGACAUUGGGAUAGCCUCGGGAAACUGGGAUUAAUACCAAAUGACACUAACUGGUCACAUGAUCAAUUAGUCAAAGAAAUUCGGUCAAAGAUGGACUCGCGGCUGAUUAGCUAGUUGGUGAGGUAACGGCCCACCAAGGCGACGAUCAGUAGCCGGCCUGAGAGGGUGAUCGGCCACAUUGGAACUGAGACACGGUCCAAACUCCUACGGGAGGCAGCAGUGGGGAAUAUUGCACAAUGGGGGAAACCCUGAUGCAGCGACGCCGCGUGAGCGAAGAAGGCCUUCGGGUCGUAAAGCUCUUUUAUGAGGGAAGAUAAUGACGGUACCUCAAGAAAAAGCCCCGGCUAACUACGUGCCAGCAGCCGCGGUAAUACGUAGGGGGCUAGCGUUGUCCGGAAUCACUGGGCGUAAAGGGUUCGCAGGCGGAAUAACAAGUCAGAUGUGAAGGGCAUGGGCUCAACCCAUGUAAGCAUUUGAAACUGUAAUUCUUGAGAAGUGGAGAGGUAAGUGGAAUU